CACACAGGUGAGACAGGAACCUAGGAAAGUGAGCUAAGAGCCCUAAUGGGUUUGGAGGAGCUCAAGAGAAAGGUAGACGAGCUUGGUAAAAGGACAGCUAAAAAGAUAUUUCGGAAGAGCUAGCAGUUCCGUUGCAGAAUCUGGGGGUGUGUGAGUAGACAUUUUGUAAGUGGUUAAGAAAGUAAAAUUGCCUGACUGAGCUAGCAGGUUCUCCGAUGUCUUUGUGGGUACAAAUGUCAGAUAAAUUUAAAAGGCUAAAUAUUACAGACGCAGUCCUCGGUGGGCGUUUGCUGUUGACAUGUCUACAGUAGAGUCAAUGCUGGAUCAACGCUUCAGACCCGUGAGAGUGGCAGAGCCCUCCCCAAGUCAGACUCAGAGAAAUAGCAAAGCGUCCCCUGGUCCAAGUGUGAGUGUUUAGGAACAAUCGACAGGAAGCACAGCGUCUGUAGCUUCCUCCUCCCUGAAGACUGCAGCCUGAGACCACCCCCUAGCAGAAACUUCCUACCAAGACUAGCUAACCGCCCUUUCUUGUGCUUUACUUAAUAAACCCCAGCCAGCCUCAAGGCUUGGUUACAGGUGCCCUGCAUCUCACUGAGUACAAUCCACCUCCGAAACCCCAGCUUUUCUAUCAGUGUGUCUGUCGUGACUUCAGUGUCUGUCAUCUCUUCAUUCCCAAGGCGCCCUAAGUCAAGUUUCCAGGACCAACCGGAUUCCAGGUGCGGCAACCUAAAGCACCCAAAAUGAUUGGAAGACGUUUGCUGUUCGUGACGUCAUGAAGCCCUGGGGCAUUUCCCCACUCUCACGCCAGCUGCGCCGGGACUUCACUUGUCCUUGUGGGCUCAAGAGCGUCUGUGCGAAACCUGCUGGGUGUCUGUGAGUUUCCAGUUCCUAAAGUCCUCUGCUGGCUAGUGUUAUGACAACCUGACCCAGAGUCAUCUUGGAAGAGAACAUGUCCCUAUUAGAUGGGACUGUGGGCAAGUGCAUUUUCUUUAUUGGUGAUUGAUCCUGAUGGGACCAACUCAUCGUGAGCUAUUCCACUUCUGGGCUUGUGGUUCUAGAAGCUACAAGAAAGCAGGCUGGCCAGGCGGUACUGGCCCAGGUUUGGGAAGGAAAGAAGGAAGGAAGGAAAGAAAGAAGGAAGGAAAGAAAGAAGGAAAGAAGGAAAGAAGGAAGGAAAGAAAGAAGGAAAGAAGGAAAGAAGGAAAAAAGGAAAGAAGGAAGCCGAGCAAAUCUUGAGGAGCAAGCCAACAAACAACAUCCUUCUAUGGCUUCUCUGCAUCAGUUCCUGCCUCUGUGUUCUUACCCUGACCUCUGAGUAAUAGACUACAGGCUGCAAGAUGAAAUAAACCUCUCCAGGUUGCUUUUGGUCAUUGUGUUUUGUCACAGCAAUAGAAACUCCAACUUAGACAAACCCAAACCAAGGAGAAAAUAUAGUAUCCACUCAUUUGGGUUAAAUCACAAAGCAGGCUUCAACUCAUGUCUACUUGAUUAUAGGCAACAGCACUGUCUCCAGUAUUCUUAGACUAAGUCUAGGCUGCAAAACAUCUGCCAUGCUAGGAACACCUGUCGUCCUAGGAACACCUGCCGUGCUGGGAACAUCUGCCAAGCUGGAACACCUGCUAUGUUGGGAACACCUGCCGUGCUAGGAACACCUGCCGUGCUAGGAACACCUGCCAAGCUGGAACACCUGCCAUGCUGGGAACACCUGCCAUGCUAGGAACACCUGCCGUGCUAGGAACACCUGCCAUGCUAGGAACACCUGCCGUGCUAGGAACACCUGCCAAGCUGGAACACCUGCCAUGCUAGGAACACCUGCCAAGCUGGAACACCUGCCAUGCUGGGAACACCUGUCAUGCUGGGAACACCUGCCAAGCUGGAACACCUGCUAUGUUGGGAACACCUGCCAUGCUAGGAACACCUGCCAUGGGUCAGGACUGUGCAGUCUCCCCUGGAAUUUGCCAUUCCUGUAAUGAUAGAUUGCCUUUCUAUGGAAUAGCUGCAGAUUAAAAGGAGACCAUGAAGAGAUCACAGCUUAUUAAGGGACUGGUGGAUCUGGGGCAAAGUCCUUACCUUACAUGCAUGAAGGAACCUGGGUUUGAUCCCUGGCACUGAAAAACAAUGACAACAUCAUAAACCCACUGGUGUCAGAGGAGACAUGUUGGGGAAGCCAUAAGAGAGAGCUUAGUCUGUGGAAGGACAUAUGUCCCAAAAAUAAAGAUUAGUGUGGUGGUUUAAAUAGCUAUGGCCCCCAUAGACUCGAGUAUUUGAAUCUUUGGCCCAUAGGGAAGGGUGCUCUUAUGAGGUGUGGCCUUACUAUAGUAGAUGUGGCCUUGUUGGAGAAGUGUGUCACUGUGAGGGCAGGCUUCAAGAGGUAUUAUACAUAUGCUCAAGCAAUACCCAGUGUGACAGACAGUCUUCUGUGGCCUGAGGAUCGAGAUGGAGAACUCUCGGCUCCUCUAGCACCAGUCUGCCAUGCCUCCUGUCAUGAUGAUGUACUGAACCUCUGAAACUGUAAGCCAGCCCCAAUUAAAUGUUUUCCUUAUAAGAGUUGCCUUGGUUAUGGUGUCUCCACACAGCAAUGUUAACACAAUUAGUUCGAUUAUUAUUUUGUUUUGUUUGUUUAUAGAGUUUUUGUUGUUGUUCUUUUCAGUUUAUUUUUCUUUGGGGGGGGCAGGAGGGAUCUCAUGCUACCGAGGCUGUCCUCAAGUUGCCAUGUGGCUGAGGGAUAGUCUUCAAUUACUGCCUGCUGCCUCUACCUUCACGGGCUGGGGUUCAGGUUUGUACACAGAACCCCUAAUUCCUUCCUGUCCCUCCCACCCACUUUUCUUUUCCCAACUUCAGGAGCUCUUCCUCUUUAAAACAAACAAAGUGGACUCGGGGCUGCCUGUAAUGUGCUCGAGGAGAUUCUCAGGAUUCCCAUCCCUGAAGAAAGCUGGUUUCCCUCCCACUGCAGGCAUCAGUGGCUGAUGGUUCCUCAGCCAGGGUGGGCCAUCCUGCAACAUUCUACGUUGUCCCGGCUAGCCUUAAAUCCCCAAAUGUCCUCCUGCCCCAGCUUCCCUAGUGCCACCAAAUCUGAAUGGAAUCAAUAUGGAAGUAAAUUGCAAAUCCCUGCCUUACUAUCUACUGAAAGACCCCCGGAGAGGACCUUUCCCUCAGGAGGAGUCCCAAGCGCCCAAUGACCGAGCCGAGUCCACUCGGAUGCAAUCAGCAAGAGGGUUUAUUGGAAAACACAGGUACCUGCGGGCACACAGUCUCUUCGGAGGACUUGCGCGCCCAGCAGCUCCAGCAUGGGGCUUUUAUAGGGAUUGGGGAAGCAGAAGCGGGCGUACAGAAGCAGAUGCAUAGUUACGGGGACUGGUGGAUUCAAACGAGGCACAUAGACAUGUUCACAUAUGAUUGGCUAUUUCACAUGAUGAGGUAAUAAGGUAUAGCUACACACAUUGGCAGGUUUUGGGGCGUCCUGGAUGUCGGGGGCUGGGGGCUUAUCUCUUCCUGCCAGGUGGCCUGUGAGUCAGAUCCGGUACUCCUGGUCUGUUCUGCAUUCCUUUCCUUUUAUGGUCUGUUAGUUCUAGCGGCAGGGCGGGGCUGCCUGGACUUGCUUUUCACAGUGUUUAGCCCUGAGUCUGAAUUUAAAACUUAUUCUUUUAACUUCAUAUUUUUAAACCUCAAAUCUGUAUAAUUUUCCUUUCACUACUUCUUUAUGGAUCUAAUAUCAACUUAAAAUGAUGCUUAAAGGGUGGAGAGCCCUUGAUGCCGCUUCAAGGAUAUUGGCAAGAGCAUUUACAUUGGGCUAGGACAAGGCUCAAGAUGAAUACAGCAGAGGGUUGUAUUGUAUUCCUUGUAUCUUGGUCGUCCUGAUAAACCCCUAGACACAGUGACCAUGGGACUUUGUUUAUUGCCUUGACUACUACUACUACUACUACUACUACUACUACUACUACUACUACUACUACUACUGUUUGUUCCCUGACUACUUUGUCUUUGGGAGCUGACCCUAUUCUUUGCAUGUACCUGGAGUGAUAAAAAAAAGCAGCCUGGGAAAAAACAAACCUGAUUCAGCACUGGCUGGAGUCAUGUUAUAAUGUUGUCUAAUUGUCUCUUUUUAUUUUCAUCCUCAUUCCCUCCCUCGAGACCCUGUUGACUGGUUGAGCUGGCUUGGUCAUUAAAGCUGUAACAUACAUCCAA